AAAAAGUAUAAAUAAAAUACAUCUACAAAUAUGGAGUCAGUAUAAUGAUUUGUUUGUAUUAUUAAAAAAUAAUUUUUUAAAUUAGGAUUUUUACGAAACUAAAUAAUAACUAAAAUAAUAAAAACGUUUUAUAACUUAAGCAUGCAUAAGAACUGCAUAAUAACAUAGAGCUGCAUUUUGAACAUGACCAUUCUGCACAUUCGUCUUCCAAAACAUAAUCAGGGAUAAGUUUACAAGCGCGAUGAUACCAAUUUUCACAUAUAUUGUUAUAGAAUUGAACUUUCCGGCCUACUAAACGGUGGUUUUUCGUGUGAUGCUUCAUAAUCGUCAGUAUCUAAGUUUAAGAAUGGUGAAUUUAGAUAUAAUGAUGACAAAGCACUCCAUGACCAAGCAGGGUACUUUUUAAAUACAAAAAAAAAAUGUUUGCAUGAAUAUGCAUUUAAUAUCCAAUUUAAACAAGUACAUUUUGGCAUUGUAAUCUCAUCACCAAAUAAUACAAAAUAUUUAGAAGCUGUCUUGGUAGAACUUAAUACAGCAAAAAAUCCAUGUUUAAUCAUGAUUACUCUGGACAAAUCAAGAUUCUCAACGUUACUUUUUUUUGUUAAUCAAUGUUUAACAAAGCUAUGAGGACGGUUGUAAAGAUAACUUGGCACCCAAAGUGCAUACCUUCUGUAACGUGCAUCCAUUUUAAAGUUGGAAUUAAUAUAGCUAAACGAAAUAAUAUACAUAGUAACAAAGUUUCUUUAAUAAAGUAUAAGGAAAAACCCAGUAUUGUGUAAAUGUACAAAUGUUAAAGUGAUUUGGUAUGUAGUACCAUAGACACGAUAUCUUUAAAAUGCAAAAUGUAAUGAUAAGGAAAAAAAUUUUAAUAUUAGUUACGUGAACAAUGUAUACUAUGAAUUAUUAUUAAAUAUAUAAACCUGCUAAUCACAUACCUAGGUUU